rnacentral:rRNA from 1 species
GACGAACGCUGGCGGCGUGCUUAACACAUGCAAGUCGAGCGGUAAGGCCCUUUCGGGGGUACACGAGCGGCGAACGGGUGAGUAACACGUGGGUGACCUGCCCUCAGCUCUGGGAUAAGCCUGGGAAACUGGGUCUAAUACUGGAUAUGACUCCACGGUGCAUGUCGUGGGGUGGAAAGCCUUGUGCGGCUGAGGAUGGGCCCGCGGCCUAUCAGCUUGUUGGUGGGGUGANGGCCUACCAAGGCGACGACGGGGUAGCCGGCCUGAGAGGGCGACCGGCCACACUGGGACUGAGACACGGCCCAGACUCCUACGGGAGGCAGCAGUGGGGAAUCUUGCGCAAUGGGCGAAAGCCUGACGCAGCGACGCCGCGUGAGGGAUGACGGCCU